GUUUAUAAAAAGCCUCAUCCACCUCUUCCUCCUAGUUAGGUGGUCUGUAGUAGAUCACUGCCAUGACAUCACCCGUGUUUUUUUAAACCUUUAU